rnacentral:rRNA from 1 species
AUGGGGCGGAAGAAGAUCGUAAUCCGGCGCAUCGAGAACAAGGCUGCACGGGACAUCUGCUUCUCCAAGCGCCGGCAGGGGCUGUUUCGCAAGGCGAACGAACUGGCCGUCAUGUGCGGCGCCCAGCUCGGUGGCACCAGCGCCGACGGCGGGAUGGAGGAGCUAAUGACGGUGAUCGCAGGCUUCGGUGGGCUUGAGCUGGAUGGCACUAGCCUGAAUGGAGGGAUGGACCAGAUGGUCACGGUGAUGCCAACGCCGGGGUUCGUAGGCGGAGUGGGGUGUGAGCCAGAUCCUUGGUUUGAGCUCGGUGGCACCAGCGCCAGCGGCCGGAUGGAUGACGUGAUGACGGCGGUCGCCGGCGGCGCUGGGUUUGAGCUGGGUGGCAUCAGCGUGAAUGGAGGGACGGAGCAUUCACCAGCGUGGGUUUGA